GGAAGCCGGUGGGAACCCGGCACGGUCGCGCCACUGUGAACAGCCGUGACGGAUCUGUACGGACGGCUGUGAGUCAGAC
rnacentral:ncRNA from 2 species